AGCAACAAAGGGAGCAGCAGGGUGCCAAGGGCGGUCCUGGCCCAGGCCCGGCCAACCUCUGGUCCCAUCCUCCUGCCCGAGGUGGGGGACCAAGCCCUCUGGGAUGGUUGUGGACAUCUGAUGAGCUAUGAAGUUUUGUGGGUGCGUCCUCUAGCCAGGAUGCCACAGCCAACCAUUAACCAGCAGUAAAAUCUGAAACCCUAAAUGUCCCAGAUGGAAAUAAUUCUGCUUGAGAACCAGCAAGAAACAAGAUUACUGAUGCAGUGGGAUUCUUGGCCAAAGUCGAGAAAAAAGACUGGAAGGAAGUGCAGGCGUGAUGGCUGCUGGGCAGAGCAUUCUUUUCUUAAAUUGCAGCCUUCUCCAAGAUUUUUGGAAAAAAGCAUUUAUUCAUUGCAGAAAGAAACCAUUUUUGCUGUUUUCCUU